rnacentral:rRNA from 1 species
AACGAACGCUGGCGGCAUGCCUAACACAUGCAAGUCGAACGAGACCUUCGGGUCUAGUGGCGCACGGGUGCGUAACGCGUGGGAACCUGCCUUUAGGUUCGGAAUAACUCAGAGAAAUUUGAGCUAAUACCGGAUGAUGUCUUCGGACCAAAGAUUUAUCGCCUUUAGAUGGGCCCGCGUUGGAUUAGCUAGUUGGUGGGGUAAAGGCCUACCAAGGCGACGAUCCAUAGCUGGUCUGAGAGGAUGAUCAGCCACACUGGGACUGAGACACGGCCCAGAAUCCUACGGGAGGCAGCAGUGGGGAAUAUUGGACAAUGGGCGAAAGCCUGAUCCAGCAAUGCCGCGUGAGUGAUGAAGGCCUUAGGGUUGUAAAGCUCUUUUACCCGAGAUGAUAAUGACAGUAUCGGGAGAAUAAGCUCCGGCUAACUCCGUG